rnacentral:rRNA from 1 species
AGUGAACGCUGGCGGUAGGCCUAACACAUGCAAGUCGAACGGCAGCACAGUAAGAGCUUGCUCUUACGGGUGGCGAGUGGCGGACGGGGGAGGAAUACAUCGGAAUCUACUUGUUCGUGGGGGAUAACGUAGGGAAACUUACGCUAAUACCGCAUACGACCUACGGGUGAAAGCAGGGGAUCUUCGGACCUUGCGCGAGUGAAUGAGCCGAUGUCGGAUUAGCUAGUUGGCGGGGUAAAGGCCCACCAAGGCGACGAUCCGUAGCUGGUCUGAGAGGAUGAUCAGCCACACUGGAACUGAGACACGGUCCAGACUCCUACGGGAGGCAGCAGUGGGGAAUAUUGGACAAUGGGCGAAAGCCUGAUCCAGCCAUACCGCGUGGGUGAAGAAGGCCUUCGGGUUGUAAAGCCCUUUUGUUGGGAAAGAAAAGCAGCAGGUUAAUACCCCGCUGUUCUGACGGUACCCAAAGAAUAAGCACCGGCUAACUUCGUG